AGAGUUUGAUCAUGGCUCAGAUUGAACGCNGGCGGCAGGCCUAACACAUGCAAGUCGAGCGGUAGAGAGAAGCUUGCUUCUCUUGAGAGCGGCGGACGGGUGAGUAAUGCCUAGGAAUCUGCCUGGUAGUGGGGGAUAACGUUCGGAAACGGACGCUAAUACCGCAUACGUCCUACGGGAGAAAGCAGGGGACCUUCGGGCCUUGCGCUAUCAGAUGAGCCUAGGUCGGAUUAGCUAGUUGGUGAGGUAAUGGCUCACCAAGGCGACGAUCCGUAACUGGUCUGAGAGGAUGAUCAGUCACACUGGAACUGAGACACGGUCCAGACUCCUACGGGAGGCAGCAGUGGGGAAUAUUGGACAAUGGGCGAAAGCCUGAUCCAGCCAUGCCGCGUGUGUGAAGAAGGUCUUCGGAUUGUAAAGCACUUUAAGUUGGGAGGAAGGGCAGUUACCUAAUACGUGAUUGUUUUGACGUUACCGACAGAAUAAGCACCGGCUAACUCUGUGCCAGCAGCCGCGGUAAUACAGAGGGUGCAAGCGUUAAUCGGAAUUACUGGGCGUAAAGCGCGCGUAGGUGGUUAGUUAAGUUGGAUGUGAAAUCCCCGGGCUCAACCUGGGAACUGCAUUCAAAACUGACUGACUAGAGUAUGGUAGAGGGUGGUGGAAUUUCCUGUGUAGCGGUGAAAUGCGUAGAUAUAGGAAGGAACACCAGUGGCGAAGGCGACCACCUGGACUGAUACUGACACUGAGGUGCGAAAGCGUGGGGGAGCAAACAGGAUUAGAUACCCUGGUAGUCCACGCCGUAAACGAUGUCAACUAGCCGUUGGGAGCCUUGAGCUCUUAGUGGCGCAGCUAACGCAUUAAGUUGACCGCCUGGGAGUACGGCCGCAAGGUUAAACUCNNUGAAUUGACGGGGGCCGCACAGCGGUGGAGCAUGUGGUUUAAUUC
rnacentral:rRNA from 1 species